GUGCUCACUUCGGCAGCAUAUAUACUAAAAUUGGACCAAUACAGAGAAGGUUAGAAUGGUCCCUACCCAAGAAUGACACACAAAUUUGUGAAGCCUUCCAUACUGUU